rnacentral:misc_RNA from 1 species
ACGUGCCUCGGGCCUGCCCCUUUUCUUAAGGGGGAGGGCUCGGAUAGUGGACGCUUUGCCGCGUGUCGCGCGGCUCGUCUUGAAAUGAAUUAGAGGUGGGUCCCAAGGGGAUUAAGGUCGGAGGGUAACGGUGUGAUAAGGUCUCGCCGCGACACCCUUACGACUCUGACCCCAUGGCUCGCUUCGGAGUCCCAAAGUCGGACUGUCCCGCUAAGGGGCAACAUUAAC